rnacentral:rRNA from 1 species
UACGUAGGGGGCAAGCGUUAUCCGGAUUUACUGGGUGUAAAGGGAGCGUAGACGGCAGAGCAAGUCUGAUGUGAAAGCCCGGGGCUCAACCGCGGGACUGCAUUGGAAACUGCCAAGCUGGAGUGCAGGAGAGGUAAGCGGAAUUCCUAGUGUAGCGGUGAAAUGCGUAGAUAUUAGGAGGAACACCAGUGGCGAAGGCGGCUUACUGGACUGUAACUGACGUUGAGGCUCGAAAGCGUGGGGAGCAA